UACGGUGGGAGCAAGCGUUGUUCGGAUUUACUGGGCGUAAAGGGCGCGUAGGCGGCCACCGCAAGUCAAUUGUGAAAUCUCCGGGCUCAACCCGGAAAGGUCAACUGAUACUGCGGGGCUAGAGUGCAGAAGGGGCAACUGGAAUUCUCGGUGUAGCGGUGAAAUGCGUAGAUAUCGAGAGGAACACCUGCGGCGAAGGCGGGUUGCUGGGCUGACACUGACGCUGACAGCGCGAAAGCUAGGGGAGCGAACGGG
rnacentral:rRNA from 1 species